rnacentral:rRNA from 1 species
UGAGGAAUAUUGGUCAAUGGCCGGAAGGCUGAACCAGCCAAGUCGCGUGAGGGAAUAAGGCCCUAUGGGUCGUAAACCUCUUUUGUCAGGGAGCAAAGGCGUCCACGUGUGGACGAGAGGAGAGUACCUGAAGAAAAAGCAUCGGCUAACUCCGUGCCAGCAGCCGCGGUAAUACGGAGGAUGCGAGCGUUAUCCGGAUUUAUUGGGUUUAAAGGGUGCGUAGGCGGAGUGUCAAGUCAGCGGUAAAAUUUCGGGGCUCAACCCCGUCGUGCCGUUGAAACUGACACCCUUGAGUGAGUGAGA